GUACCACUGAAAGCCAAGAAUUUUUAGGGAUGGCAUUGUGGCAAAUUUAUCUUCAGUUUUAAGAUGUUGAAAAGGCUCCCAAGCACAUGGUAAAAAUACUUGGAGAAACUGUCAGCUUUGAUCACACUGGCUGUUAAAAGAAUGCAGAGGAAGAACAGAAAGCUGAUGUAACUUGACAACGAGACCAGGAGGAAG